rnacentral:rRNA from 1 species
GACGAACGCUGGCGGCGUGCUUAACACAUGCAAGUCGAACGAUGAAGCUGGAGCUUGCUCCGGUGGAUUAGUGGCGAACGGGUGAGUAACACGUGAGCAAUCUGCCCUUGACUCUGGGAUAACUGCGGGAAACUGUAGCUAAUACCGGAUACGAGACCUGAAGGCAUCUUCGGGUCUGGAAAGAGUUUCGGUCAAGGAUGAGCUCGCGGCCUAUCAGCUUGUUGGUGGGGUAAUGGCUCACCAAGGCGACGACGGGUAGCCGGCCUGAGAGGGUGACCGGCCACACUGGGACUGAGACACGGCCCAGACUCCUACGGGAGGCGGCAGUGGGGAAUAUUGCACAAUGGGCGCAAGCCUGAUGCAGCGACGCCGCGUGAGGGAUGACGGCCUUCGGGUUGUAAACCUCUUUCAGCUAUGACGAAGCGCAAGUGACGGUAGUAGCAGAAGAAGGACCGGCCAACUACGUGCCAGCAGCCGCAGUAA